UUGAACCAUUGAUCCAGUUUAAAAUGUUUUAAUCACAAGCGUUGGUUUGGAUGACCAGUUGUGUGCCACGUUGACUAAGUUCCAUCAUGGAACGCGCGUUUGUGUCCACUUGAUCUGCCACCUCAAUUAUUGAGGGAGAUCAAGUGGUCCACGUUUUUUUUUGUAUUUUCUGAUUUUUAUUUUAUUCCUUUGAUUUUCAUUAAUUCAUAUUAAUUUUAAUAUUGAUCCA
rnacentral:lncRNA from 1 species